AUGUUGCUUAACCAAAGCCUCUCGCUUACCCCGAGAAGAUAUCCGUGAAACUCAGAUCAUCUUGAG
rnacentral:tRNA from 1 species